rnacentral:lncRNA from 1 species
CAACUCACACCCAUCAGAGACCCGUUCAUCGCCGCCUUACUCCGCCCACCGAAAAUCGCCUACGGCGGCGGCCGACGGCCAAUCACCUCUAAAUUUACACCCUUGAAUCUCCUCCACCUCCCCAUACCAAAUCCCCAUUUCAUUGAACUCAAAUCCCCUUGAAACUCUUCGAAGAAACGGAACCCUAGCGGCGCCUAAUUUCUCUGGUGGAGACGCCACCUCCAAACGACCCAAAAUCAAUACCCUAGAACCUCUCCAGUCUCCUCGUUCCAAAUCCUCACUCCAUCCCCUUCAAAUUCGCCAGAGCGGCUCGAAUCCUAAAUCGAAAAUUUGAGUUCUAAGAUACAAAUCCAAACCUGGGCGUAUAUGAUGUUUGUUCCAACCCGCAUGAUUUUUUUGAGCCGACUUUGUCAUAUAGUGUUGUUCACUUUUGUUUGACAAAGGACAAACGACUAACAUUAUUUGGGGAUGAAGUUGGAGUGUCAGGUCUCGAGUUCGAGUUUAGCCAGUGAGUUCCAUUUCAUUUUUGGGUCUAUUCUAGUUCCAUUUUCAUUUAUUGUCCCUCUCCUUUUCCUUUUUCUUUUCAUUAUUUGAAAUUUCACAAAAUUUUUGGCCAAGUUUGGGAUAUGUCUGUUUGGUCUUCGUUUGAUUUUCAUUUUGUUCUUUUGUUGCCAAGACUGUUUUCCGGUCCCGCUUGAUUUAUUUGGUUUCU